AUUGAACGCUGGCGGCAUGCCUUACACGUGCAAGUCGAACGGUAACAGGUUAAGCUGACGAGUGGCGAACGGGUGAGUAAUGUAUCGGAACGUGCCCAGUCGUGGGGGAUAACUGCUCGAAAGAGCAGCUAAUACCGCAUACGACCUGAGGGUGAAAGCGGGGGAUCGCAAGACCUCGCGCGAUUGGAGCGGCCGAUAUCAGAUUAGGUAGUUGGUGGGGUAAAGGCCUACCAAGCCUACGAUCUGUAGCUGGUCUGAGAGGACGACCAGCCACACUGGGACUGAGACACGGCCCAGACUCCUACGGGAGGCAGCAGUGGGGAAUUUUGGACAAUGGACGCAAGUCUGAUCCAGCCAUGCCGCGUGCGGGAAGAAGGCCUUCGGGUUGUAAACCGCUUUUGUCAGGGAAGAAAAGGUUCUGGUUAAUACCUGGGACUCAUGACGGUACCUGAAGAAUAAGCACCGGCUAACUACGUGCCAGCAGCCGCAGUAAGAC
rnacentral:rRNA from 1 species